rnacentral:misc_RNA from 1 species
ACAAUAUUAAACAUCUUAUUCUAGGCUCUUAGGAACUAUAAAAUCAUGUUUUGGAACCUUAGAAUGGAAGAAAGAAUAUGCCUGACAGAACCCAAUUUAGUUGUCGAAGUCUCAAGCUUCGGUUGGCCUUUUAGUUUGGUAGUUAUUGUGGUUGCCGAAGUCUUGGACUUCAGUUGCCCAAUCUGAAAUUUUUUUCCAGAUUUUCCUAAGAAAUUAUAGGCUUCGACUGCUAAACUAAUGAUUUUUUGCAGUCAAACUUGGGAAUUUUCAAAAUUCUCAAAAGUCAAAAACCUAUAGAAUCUCACUUCCCACAACACUAAAACUCAGUCCAAGCUCCCAAAUAAUGAUCCACGCAUCCCAACACGUAAUUGAAGCCUAAAUCAACUUGAAAUUAAACUUAAAACUAACAUACAUCACUUAAGAAGAUGAAUUCAAGGUUUA